UGGAACCUGAUGAACAACUUUAAAACUUUGGGUUUGAUUCCCAGUGAAUGCAUGAACUGAACAAACCUUAAAUGCAAUGCAAGUUGCUUUGAAUUAAAUGUCAAAUAUUAAUGCAUAGAGGUCAUUUAGAUACAGAACUCUUAAAUGGUACAUUGUUAGUCUCUUUCACAAGAGUCAACACAUCGUGAUCUCUCAGCACAUAUUGGAAGAGAUUGUAAAAUGCCUUAAGGCUCAGAGAGAAUGGAAAUGGUAACUAAAAACUGAAACUGGCCUUUUACAGUGGACUGAUAUUACAAAGGGACGUCAUUAAUAACACUACAGAACUGUUAAAGUGAUCAGUUUGGCCCCUUUAAUGCAGUUUUUAAAUCUCAGAUUGGUGUUCAUGUUUUUUAUUUUUAAUUCUAAAAUCACAUAUAUUCUACAGCACGGAUGAAGAUCUGUGGUUUGAUUGGUGCUGUGGCCUGGUGGUGAUCAGAUGAGCCUCAUUUGCAUUGCUAAACAGCAUACAGGUGAAUGUCAGUAACGAUCCUUGAUUACCGCAGCCAUGCUGACCUUUCACCACCAACAAAAUAUGUGCUGCACGAUCAGAGUGCAUCGUGUGAGACUGACUGUGCUGAUGUCCCUGAAGGUCAAACACUUAACCUCGCCGUCGCUGAAGUGUGGAACUGUGCAAAUGAAAUCGAAGAGUUUGAGGAGUUAGAACAUUCACAAGCUCAGAUGAGAGCACUCAUCACUGAGUAGUGUUCAAGAUCUCUGGUCUCAGACAAGGAGAUGAACCUUCAAUGUCCUUCACCGAUCAUCAUUUCAAGUGUGGUCUGACGUGACCGAAAGAUCAUAUCUGAGCGGGCGUGUUGGAGGAUGCUGAGGGUGCGUGACCGCUGCCAAACAGAUUUCAUCAUCCCGUACCCUGCUGGUAAACUCUCUCGCUGUCUCCAUGCAAGAGAAACUCUGAAUUCCUUCAGCUAAUCUCACGUCUGGAUGCAGCUGUGUUUCUGCGCCGCCGGAGAACAAACUCUCGAGUCCCUGCAGGACCAGACACUUGCUAUUCUUACGUUUCUAAGUGGAGGGAAAUGUCAUUUUAAAUUAAAUAAAGGUUCGUAAACUGUUUUUCUUUUUUUUUUCUUUUUUUUUUUCACUGCAGUGUCAAAGAGCUUUUCAGUGAACAGUUUCUUAAGGAACCUUUUUUUUUUUUUUUUUUAAAUCUUUAAAGAUCUUUUUAAUAAUUUAAAAUAACCUUUUCUUUUUUUUCUUAGUGUAAAGCAUGCUUUAA
ensembl:lncRNA